rnacentral:rRNA from 1 species
AACGAACGCUGGCGGCAGGCUUAACACAUGCAAGUCGAGCGCCCCGCAAGGGGAGCGGCAGACGGGUGAGUAACGCGUGGGAAUCUACCCAUCUCUACGGAAUAACGCAUGGAAACGUGUGCUAAUACCGUAUACGUCCUUCGGGAGAAAGAUUUAUCGGAGAUGGAUGAUCCCGCGUUGGAUUAGCUAGUUGGUGGGGUAAAGGCCUACCAAGGCGACGAUCCAUAGCUGGUCUGAGAGGAUGAUCAGCCACACUGGGACUGAGACACGGCCCAGACUCCUACGGGAGGCAGCAGUGGGGAAUAUUGGACAAUGGGCGCAAGCCUGUUCCAGCCAUGCCGCGUGAGUGAUGAAGGCCCUAGGGUUGUAAAGCUCUUUCACCGGUGAAGAUAAUGACGGUAACCGGAGAAGAAGCCCCGGCUAACUUCGUGCCAGCCGCCGCAGUAAAAC